rnacentral:rRNA from 1 species
UACGUAGGGGCCAAGCGUUGUCCGGAUUUAUUGGGCGUAAAGAGCUCGUAGGCGGUUGGGUAAGUCGGGUGUGAAAACUCCAGGCUCAACUUGGGGACGCCACCCGAUACUGCUCUGACUUGAGUUCGGUAGGGGAGUGGGGAAUUCCUGGUGUAGCGGUGAAAUGCGCAGAUAUCAGGAGGAACACCGGUGGCGAAGGCGCCACUCUGGGCCGAAACUGACGCUGAGGAGCGAAAGCGUGGGUAGCAAACAGG